AAUAACAAUUUAGAUAUACUCUGGUAUGACGAAAACUUUUUCAACCUCCCGACUGCAAACAAGAAAACGCUUUUUUGACUGGCCUAAGUCAUCGGCUGGCUUCUUCGUAAAUGAACAAAGGAGUUUUAAGUUGCCUUAAUUCGAUUUCGGUACAUAAUUUAUACUUGUUUACUCCUUUGUUAUUUUACAAAGCAGCAAGUUAAAAAACGUUUUAUGUGUACUCAUGGUACAAAAAUACAGCCCUGAGGCUAUGCCCGCUUCCUGUCGGACUCAUUCAAAAUUAUUGUUCUCAUUUUUUUUUUUCAUAUUUUUCCUCAUUUUUAAAAUGAGUUAAAUUGCGCGAAAAAUUAAUAAAAUGUCUGGAUUUUUCUCUCAAAAAUAUGAUCCUAACUGUUCAAUCUUUCAAUUUCAUGGCUAUACUGGUUAAUAGCUUUAAAGCGCGAGCCGCAAUUCAUGUGUCUUCCAGUCAUUGGUUUUUGAAAAUAUAUUUUUUUUUCAUUUUUCAAAACAAUUAAUACAUACACAAAAUUGGCACACAUUUAGAAAAAAAUUGUAAUCAGCUGUUAAUCACAAGGAGAGCGGUUGGAGAGAAACAUUUUGACAGUUCUUUCAGUGAGAGUUUGCAAAUUCUUGCUGGACAAAUUUCUUCCUGCAAACACUUGCAACCAGUGUGACCGGAUCUAAAAUAGUGUUGAAGCUAAAAUCCCAUGAAAAUAAUGCUAAAGAAUGCCAAACAAAAAAAUUAAAAUGCCAAAAAAUAAUGCUAAAUAUAAAUAUAUUUUUAAAUCCUGCAGUACUAUGUGUUGGGGGUCUUAUAAGUUUGAUAGGGCCAAAAAUUAUGUAACACUUCGAAAUUUCGGCUUCCCACAUAGAAAAGUAUAUAUUGAUCUUCCAAUCUCGCUGAACUAAGCCGAUUUGUCGCAUGGGAUAUUUUCAUUUUGACUUACAAUAUUGAAUUUUACAUUUUGUAAUAUUUUUACUUCUUACAACACUAUAUAGUUAGGAUAUUAUAUACAGGGCACAUUUAAAGCAUUUUAAUAUCCAAAAAUAAAUUGUUGAGUUUGUGUUUGCCCAUUCAUAUGUAAUAAGUUUUUGUCAUUGCUUAAUAAAAUAGUAAUUUCGUUUAAAAUCUUCAUUUAAUAGAUUUAAGAAAAAUUGGAUUUAUAAGAAGUACUAAAAUAUUAGAAAAUUUUUGGACAAAAAAAAAACGCUAAACUAAAAAUUUCGAAAAGCUAAGAAAAAUGCCAAAUGAAAAUUUUGCUGCUAAAUACAAAAAAUAAAUGCUAAAUUUACCUGCAAAAAUGCUAAAAUGGCCACACUUGCCAUUCAUCGACAUUUAACCAGAUGUUUUCUAUUGAUUUUUUCUUUUUUGGAAUUAGCAAGACUAUUUGCUUUUGGAGAACAACUUUACAAAAUAUGAAAAACACAAACGUCAUUAGCAACACGUUUAAAGGAUUCCGGGGAACUCAUCAAAUCUAUCUUUCUUUUAUUGUUCAUAUUUUAAUUUCGUGUUAAUUUCCUUUUUAAUUAUAAAACUUGUAAAAUUGGUGGUGCUUCCUUUCUUUUAAUUCUUUGAAUGGUGGACAAAUUGACUUGUUUUGACUAAUCAGCUGAUUAGUUGCUGGAAUACCGUCUGUUUACUUUUCGCAUUUUCCUUGCAAAAGAGUAUAAAACUACCUUACUCUCUCAGAAAGAUAUUGCUGGACAAUUCCUGCAGGAAAAGUAACCAGAUCCGUUCUUUCAUCUCACCCUGUAUAUUGCUUUUAUUUAGUUGGCUCGAAUAAAACCCGGAUUUUGUAUCGGAACUUUCGGUCGAUCCUUUCAGGUCAAACCAAGCACAGCAAUUUAACUUAAGCCAAUUAUGAACCUUUAAAUACAAUGUAGGCCACAAUAGCGCUGAAUGUGAGGCUGAAAUCGUCAAAAGAUGUAGGGAGUGAGGUGCCAUUGUCAAUACAAAAACAUGGACUGAAAUAAAAAUGCAAAUAUGUGCAAA